rnacentral:rRNA from 1 species
UACGGAGGGUGCAAGCGUUAUCCGGAUUCACUGGGUUUAAAGGGUGCGUAGGUGGGCAGGUAAGUCAGUGGUGAAAUCUCCGGGCUUAACCCGGGAACUGCCGUUGAUACUAUUUGUCUUGAAUAUAGUGGAGGUGAGCGGAAUAUGUCAUGUAGCGGUGAAAUGCUUAGAUAUGACAUAGAACACCAAUUGCGAAGGCAGCUU